rnacentral:tRNA from 2 species
GGGCUCGUAGUCUAGGGGUUAUGACGUCGCCUUGACGAGGCGGAGGUCGAGGGUUCGAAUCCCUCCGAGCCCA